AUUAUUAAUAUUGAUGCGUCAAUAAGAUUGUUUUUAUCGCAGUAUGUUUAUCGCACGCUAAUACGCAUCCCAAUGUUCAAGCUUAAUCGUCGCAUUGUCAGGCCGAUCACGAAUUUGCGAGCGUGAAACCACGUACGCAGCGUCUCUGUCCCGUGUACGGUCUCGUAGAUAGUUCAAACACUUUGUAAAACCUCAAGGCGAAAUUUAGUUAGGCGACACCUCGCUCGCGCACGCGCCUAUAAAGCGAAAACGCGUUAAGCAUUCGUGAAAUGCAAGUAGACGGACCACCCAUGUUCUGCUACUUCGUCGCAUGCUCACUGCUGCUGACGUUGUCUUACUUCGCGAUCACGCGACGCGAUAAAAAUUCCUCUGCGAAGGGAAAACGCGUGCAUCAGCGCAUAGAAAAUGCACAACGUUCCACAGUCAUAAUUUACUAAGAAAACAUUUUUAUAAUUCGACAACCUCUCAAACCUUGAUUUCUCGAUUAACGAAGAAGAAUCGUGAUAUAUGUAAAUGAAAGCUUAUUACCUGUCAACGAGAAAAUGAUUUAGAAUAGUUCCAUUUAUGUGAUGUAUUCUAUUUCGAUUAUCGUCGAUAAUUGAGGGUACUAUCGUCGGUUCUGAUCAUUUGCGUGUAUAAUUUAUUAAUGAUUAAAUGGCAAUAAAAAGGGAUGAAGAAGAAGGAUACUUCAUCUAAAAUUUCGACGAAUAAAACCGUUAUAUAAUUAGUCUCAGUCCAGCGCUCGGCAAGUAUCGCGCUUUCGUAGGCAUCAUGUUUUAUAGGUGGAAAGUAGCGCAAAGCACGACAAAGCAAUUGAUCAAUAUAGCGCCAACAACCCCUUGUAGCUAGCUUCUCGCCCUCUCUCGCUCUCUUUUUCUCGUCUUCCUCCCCUUUUUCCUUCCUCACCCUUCUUCCUCAACACGCCCGUUUCUCGAGCAAGUCCCAGUAGCGCGGAGAGAACGCACCCCCAUAACAAGUUUCUUACUCAUCUUUUUCGUUCAAUAACUCUCCAUCCAAGAUGGCCACCGCGGUCGUCCCUCAUUGGCUGGGGGAAGGGGUGGUCGCAGAGCUCUGUACGGAGUUUGGGUGACCCGAGAGAGAGAGAGAAAGAGAAAGAGAUGGCAAGAGAGGGAAAAGAGAGCAGUACAAGAGAGAGAGAAAGAGGGGUUGGAAGCACUAACGCCAUCUAUCUUGCGUUGCCUUGGCUCGGCGUAACAUAAGGUAAGAUAAAUUGCGGGAUCUCCCGGGUUCUUGAACCUUUCUGGCAAAUUGCAUAAGAAUAUCCACCCUCUCCGUCCUUCUCUACUUUCUCACAACCACCUUUCCUACGUUCCACCUCUCUCCUCCAACCCAGGCCCCAUGGCUCCAAUGGAAUUGGAAUUAAGUCGAAUAAAUCACCUUCGUGACUCUGCACGCUACGCGGAACCUCCGCGCUCUCCUCCGCGUUUCAAAGACCAGAAAUUUCUUUUCUUGAGAUAGAAUCGAACGCUUCUUUCUACCACCGGAUCUCUUGAUUAAACGUUUGCGAACGCGGAGGACUUCGAUUCCGUAAUCGAAUCGAAAAUUGUCUGAGUACCGUUGCAUCGAUCGUAAGCGUCAACUACUGGUCACUUGGAAAGUCAUAAAGCAGUGCCGGCAUCUAGCGGUACCCACGAGAACAAUGAAACAAGAAGCAGAAGACAAAGUGCUGUGUGUGCGCGCGCGCAUCAUGGACCAUUGAUCGGAAGAAGGAAAAAUGAUAUAGGUAAUAUUUAGCUAUGACGGUACAAAAUAGUCCGAGAAUAAAAUGAGUUCGACGAGCCCUGUUCGUUCGGCUUCGACAGUCUCGAUACUAUAAUCGAGGAAAGCAAGGAAAUGCGUGCGAAUUAAUUGGAAAGAUAGAUGCAUCAGAUAGCGACGUUAUUAGCGCGUCAAUUUGUAAAGAGCAUAAUAAACGCGAUACGAUAAUUAAAUGUUAAUUAUUCCAUACGUAACAUUAAUGUAUCCUUUUUAGAUCUAUCCUAUCCGAUCUCGCAAAGUCCAU
rnacentral:lncRNA from 1 species